UGUCUUCGUAGAGGUCCGCGUUCAUUGAUUGUAAACACUGUGGAGUUCGGUUUACAUAAGAAUUUUAAAUAUAUACGUAUCCGUCCGAUCCGUGCAUAAAUUUAAUUUACUGAUCGAUCGGUGACAGUUGUCAGGGUAACUCUCACAUAGGUUAUUUGACUUAUCUGACGGAUCCUAUGGGUCACCGAUCACCGAUCACUCAUCGAUCAGUCAAACAUCCGUCACCGAUCAUUCACCGAUCAGUCAAGUUCACGUCAAACAGUAACGCCUAAGGUUGCAAGUACUGUAC
rnacentral:lncRNA from 1 species